AGAGUUUGAUCAUGGCUCAGAAUCAACGCUGGCGGCGUGCCUAACACAUGCAAGUCGCACGAGAAAGUGGAGCAAUCCAUGAGUAAAGUGGCGCACGGGUGAGUAACACGUGAAUGAUCUACCUCCGAGUGGGGAAUAACUGAGAGAAAUCUUAGCUAAUACCGCAUAACACUUACGAGUCAAAGCAGCAAUGUGCUUGGAGAGGAGUUCGCGGCAGAUUAGUUAGUUGGCGGGGUAAUGGCCCACCAAGACGAUGAUCUGUAUCCGGCCUGAGAGGGCGCACGGACACACUGGAGCUGAAACACGGUCCAGACUCCUACGGGAGGCAGCAGUGGGGAAUUUUGCGCAAUGGGGGAAACCCUGACGCAGCAACGCCGCGUGGAGGAUGAAGUAUCUUGGUACGUAAACUCCUUUCGAUGGGGAAGAUUAUGACGGUACCCAUAGAAGAAGCCCCGGCUAACUUCGUGCCAGCAGCCGCGGUA
rnacentral:rRNA from 1 species